UACGUAGGGUGCAAGCGUUAAUCGGAAUUACUGGGCGUAAAGCGUGCGCAGGCGGUUUUGUAAGUCUGUCGUGAAAGCCCCGGGCUCAACCUGGGAAUUGCGAUGGAGACUGCAAGGCUUGAAUUGUGCAGAGGGGGGUAGAAUUCCACGUGUAGCAGUGAAAUGCGUAGAGAUGUGGAGGAACACCGAUGGCGAAGGCAGCCCCCUGGGUCAAGAUUGACGCUCAUGCACGAAAGCGUGGGGAGCAAACAGG
rnacentral:rRNA from 1 species